rnacentral:rRNA from 1 species
AUUGAACGCUGGCGGCAGGCCUAACACAUGCAAGUCGAACGGUAACAGGAAGAAGCUUGCUUCUUUGCUGACGAGUGGCGGACGGGUGAGUAAUGUCUGGGAAACUGCCUGAUGGAGGGGGAUAACUACUGGAAACGGUAGCUAAUACCGCAUAACGUCGCAAGACCAAAGAGGGGGACCUUCGGGCCUCUUGCCAUCGGAUGUGCCCAGAUGGGAUUAGCUAGUAGGUGGGGUAACGGCUCACCUAGGCGACGAUCCCUAGCUGGUCUGAGAGGAUGACCAGCCACACUGGAACUGAGACACGGUCCAGACUCCUACGGGAGGCAGCAGUGGGGAAUAUUGCACAAUGGGCGCAAGCCUGAUGCAGCCAGGCCGCGUGUAUGAAGAAGGCCUUCGGGUUGUAAAGUACUUUCAGCGGGGAGGAAGGGAGUAAAGUUAAUACCUUUACUCAUUGACGUUACCCGCAGAAGAAGCACCGGCUAACUCCGUG